UCUCUGGAGACUGUCAGAAUGUUGCAGACACCUCUGAUGAGAACCCAAUAAGGUUUGAAAAUCGAUUAAGGUUGUUAAUCAUUUUUUCAGUCAGCAGAGAUAUAGCUAAAAUUUGCUCUGUUUAUAAUCAUACCAUGUGUUACAUAUAUGUAUGUAUAUUGAAAAAAUUGGU